AAGGCCUCUGAAAACAGUUGAGAGAGAACUUAGGGAAACUUAUAUUUAACCACAUUAUUAAAUAAAAAUG
rnacentral:sRNA from 1 species